GACGAACCGUGCGAACGUUGUUCGGAAUCACUGGGCUUAAAGGGCGCGUAGGCGGGCUGCCAAGUCUGGGGUGAAAUCCCACGGCUCAACCGUGGAACUGCCUCGGAUACUGGCGGCCUCGAGGGAGGUAGGGGCGUGCGGAACUGUGGGUGGAGCGGUGAAAUGCGUUGAUAUCGGAAGGAACGCCGGUGGCGAAAGCGCACGACUGGAUCUCUUCUGACGCUGAGGCGCGAAAGCCAGGGGAGCAAACGGG
rnacentral:rRNA from 1 species